GGGGGUGUACCGGUUUCGACAGAUAAGAGUAAUCUUGUGCUGCAGGUGAGGUUGCGUUUGACCUCUGAUCAGACGGAAAAAAUAACUGAAGACGAUUCUUUCGAAGAAAACGAGCAGUUUGCUCUCGCUGCCUAACAGCAGCGGAACCGGAACUCGUGUUGCGCUGUUCCUAGCGGCAUGAUGUUCUGUUACAAACAGGGACUUGCUUUGCAUAUUGUCCAGAAUAUGCAGGGGACUUCAUCUGGAAUACGGAGGCGACGCCUUUGAAGCCGCUACCGUCUCCCGACAACCACCUCGCUUCAAUAAACCUGUAGAGGUGCCUGGUUAGCUUAUUUGGACGCGGGUUCGAUUCCCGCCAUCUCCAA
rnacentral:tmRNA from 1 species